CACAAUCCUUUGCAUAUCUGUAGUCCAGGAAAUGGAAACUCCCUCUGAUGGUUACAGUCACAUAGAAUCCUGCUGAAGCCUCAAGAGCAGCCCAGGAACCUCUCCCUUGCUCUAGUGUCAAGGCCUCUCCAUGUCAUGGCCUCUCUGUGUCACCCCUCUUUGAGGGAUGGCUGGCUUUCCUCACAGCCUGACUGCUUCUAGAAGUCAGACUCUUUGCAUGACAGCCCAAGGCUCCCAAGAGUCCCAAGAGAAUAGGACAGAAGUGAUAAUCAUCUUUUGUCCUGAGUUCAGAAGUCACAGUAUCACUUGUUCUCGUUCAAGUUCUAAUGGCAGAAGAGCGUUGGAGAAGAGAGGCCAUUAUAACCACCUUUGGGAAGAAUGUACUCUACAAUAGCAUCCCGUGGGAAACCUGGGGCCACAUUGGAAUUGUGGUAACUCAGAGAGGAGUCCAUGAAGACACUCCUUAAAAAGUUGCAGAGGCAAGGAGGACAAAACCAAAAGCUAGGGACCACAGCGAUCGUUUGUAACUGAAGAAUUGUCAGUGCCCUGAUUCAGCAGUAAUAAGAUACAGCAGGAAUGAUAUUAGAAGAAGCAGAGAAAACUGGAGGGCAGAGAGAUGGCAAAGCUGCAGCAGUGAUUUGGCUGGCUGUUUGAAGCGUGUAUCGUGGUUUCUGUUGGAAAGCGAGUUAUCCUCAGAAAGUCCACAUGGAGCCGGGAGAUAAAACACAAAACAGCCCAGGGCUACAAGUCCCCGGUGAGUGCACAGGUCUAAGGAGCGGCCUCCAGCUGCUCUGCGAACUUCCCUAACAGAUUUCAGCCACCCAGAGAGCACCAAGGUGAGGACGAUGGGAGAAGACCACGUGGCAAGAAGACUCAAGGGGCCUCCACCUGACAACCCAUUGGCAGCUGUCACUAGGCACGAGACCCCUCCCCAGUCGAACUUCGGAUGGGACUUUAAUUCUACCCAAAACUGGAUUUAAGGCCUGCCAGGAGGUGCUGACUCGUGUUGUUUCAAGGCCCUAAAUGGGUGGUCAUUUGUUAUGUGGCAAAACAUCUUUAAUACAGCGGAGUAUCGAGUACCUAA